AGAGUUUGAUCAUGGCUCAGAACGUACGCUGGCGGCACGCCUAACACAUGCAAGUCGAACGAAGUAGCAAUACUUAGUGGCAGACGGGUGAGUAACAUGUGGGUAUCUACCCUUUGGCCUGGAAUAACACGAGGAAACUUGUGCUAAUACCGGAUAAGUCUUUACGGAGAAAGCUUUAUGCACCAUUGGAUGAGCCCGCACUUGAUUAGUUUGUUGGUAGGGUAAUGGCCUACCAAGACUAUGAUCAAUAGCUGAUUUGAGAGGAUGAUCAGCCACAUUGGGACUGAGACACGGCCCAAACUCCUACGGGAGGCAGCAGUGGGGAAUCUUGCACAAUGGAGGAAACUCUGAUGCAGCGAUGCCGCGUGAGUGAAGAAGGCCUUUGGGUUGUAAAGCUCUUUCGUCGGGGAAGAAAAUGACUGUACCCGAAUAAGAAGGUCCGGCUAACUUCGUGCCAGCAGCCGCGGUAAUACGAAGGGACCUAGCGUAGUUCGGAAUUACUGGGCUUAAAGAGUUCGUAGGUGGUUGAAAAAGUUGGUGGUGAAAUCCCAGAGCUUAACUCUGGAACUGCCAUCAAAACUUUUCAGCUAGAGUAUGAUAGAGGAAAGCAGAAUUUCUAGUGUAGAGGUGAAAUUCGUAGAUAUUAGAAAGAAUACCAAUUGCGAAGGCAGCUUUCUGGAUCAUUACUGACACUGAGGAACGAAAGCAUGGGUAGCGAAGAGGAUUAGAUACCCUCGUAGUCCAUGCCGUAAACGAUGUGUGUUAGACGUUGGAAAUUUAUUUUCAGUGUCGCAGGGAAACCGAUAAACACACCGCCUGGGGAGUACGACCGCAAGGUUAAAACUCAAAUGAAUUGACGGGGACCCGCACAAGCGGUGGAGCAUGUGGUUUAAUUCGAUGCAACGCGAAGAACCUUACCUGGUCUUGACAUGUACGGAAGGUUGGAGAGAUCUAACUGUGCCUUCGGGAACCGUAACACAGGUGCUGCAUGGCUGUCGUCAGCUCGUGUCGUGAGAUGUUGGGUUAAGUCCCGCAACGAGCGCAACCCUCACUUUUAGUUGCCAUCAUUAAGUUGGGCACUCUGAAAGAACUGCCAGUGAUAAGCUGGAGGAAGGUGGGGAUGACGUCAAGUCCUCAUGGCCCUUACGUGUUGGGCUACACACGUGCUACAAUGGCAUCUACAACAGGAAGCAAAACGGCAACGUUAAGCAAAUCCCGAAAAGAUGCCUCAGUUCGGAUUGCACUCUGCAACUCGAGUGCAUGAAGCUGGAAUUACUAGUAAUCGUGGAUCAGCGUGCCACGGUGAAUGCGUUCCCGGGUCUUGUACACACCGCCCGUCACACCAUGGGAGUUGGUUCUACCUUAAGGCAAGGUUUUAAACCCUUGACCACGGUAUAGUCAGCGACUGGGGUGAAGUCGUAACAAGGUAGCCGUAGGGGAACCUGCGGCUG
rnacentral:rRNA from 1 species